UCCUUUUAUUUGCUUUAAUAUGGCCAUGUUUAUAAUUACCAUCUCUUCACAUGGUGCCUUUCCUUUUUCUACUUUGUAUGUACUUUUCCUGACAUGUAAGGAGGAGUGGCCAAGUUGUGGCCGGAAGUUUUUGCCCUACCAAGAAAAAAAGUCUCCACCCAUCUUCGAUUUUUGAUAGAAUAUGCCUGGGUUAUGUGGCCUAAGUAUAAAAUCAAUUAGGAUUAUUUUCCCCACACACUUAGUCCAUCUACUCACCUCUCAAGAAGUGUGGCAGUAUGCUUCAAUAUUCACCCUCACACACUCAACUCUUCCAAGGAGAUCUACCAGCAUGGAACUCUGAGGAAGGAACAGUCUAAGGCAGUACCAUUGAAAGAAGUGACGUUCAGUUUACCGAAAGGGGAAACAACACUUGGAGAACUAAGAAUGGCUGGCUAUGUCUUCUUCAUAUAGGUGUAAACAGAGACACCCCGAUGCUGUUAUACAAAUCAGUUUACCUAAACGGAAAGUUGGGAAGCUUGGGAGAAAGCGUGGACUAUACAGAAGAGAAAAUGGUAACAAGAUUGCAUAUGGACUACUAACAACCCUUUUGAAGUUUCCUGACGACAUGCAGGUAGCGGUGGUGCUGCCCUACAAGGAAGUGGAACAAAUGAGCGAGCAAAAUGUUGAGCUGGUGGAGACAACCAAUCACUUAAUAAAGAUUCACCCUAAUUGCCUAAUCAAUUGUACAUGACUGCAACAAGAAUUGCACCAUCACUAUACCACAGCUUCAGUCACAAAAAAAAAAAGGGAAGAGAUAAACACUGACAGUACUUCUCAGUACAACACGAUUACCAUUAUGCAUUAGCAAUACUGCAUGAGUUCUAUUUAGUUUUUCCUAUU